rnacentral:lncRNA from 1 species
UUUUCUUUUGACACUUUUUCUUUGUCCAGUUGGAAUUUUCUUUAGCUAGAUGGAGUGCUGAUCAGGUAAAUUUAGAACUCAAGCAUAGUAGGAAUAACCCAACCUAGAGUUUGGAUUAGGUCUUGGUGGACAAGAGACUGAUCACUCCAAAUCAAUUUCUCUUUCUUUCUUCUUUUAUCAGUUUUUUGAGCAUCACCCAGAAUUCUUUAUUCACAGGAACAUAUUUACAAGAUUAAACAGAAGAUUAGCACACAGAAAUACAGAAGAAGAUUGUGGUGAAAUGAUGUAGUACAGCAAGAGAGUUGACAGUGGCAGAGUGGAGAAUAAAAAAGAUCGAUCAGUCCUUGGUGUGACUACCCUAUAUAUAUACUAUAUUAAGAAUCAAACAGUCAAUAUAUAUAGUUUGGCAUCGUCCAGUUAAUAUAUUUUUAGACAUCUUCUCAGAUGAUUCUGAUCAAUGAUUCAAUCUCUUCUUGUGUCAAUUCCUUUUGGUAGUUGUUCUGAUUCAAGAAAAUCACAGUUAAGUACACGAUCAUGUGAUCCAUCCAACACCUUCAAUUUGGCCAAUUUUGGUUAAUUUCAUAGUUCUAAGGUCCUAGAAAAUCAUGCCAGACAGCCAGGACCAUUUUACAUGUUUUUUUUUUUACUUUGUUACUGUUGGGAUGCAUUUGGUUUGUGGGAAUCAAAAUGAAAAUAUGAUGAGAAUGAAGGUGAAUCAUAAUGUUACAUAGAAGAGAUGAAUCAAAAUACUAGUGAGAGCGAGAUUUGAUUUCUAUACUAAUGAAUUUUUUAUUCCUAUUUCCUUUCUAAAAAAAUAAUUCAAAUGAAGAAAUAAGUCGGAAUGAAACUAAUUUCCCAUUCUCCUUAUCUAUUCUAGGUUCUAAACCUAAUCUUAAGGUUAUUCUUAUGCAUUUUUCAUCCAUGUACUUCUGCAAUUUUGAGGAAUUCAAACUAUUUCCAAAGGACGAGAUAGAAAACAAUGUGCUUAAAGGAAAACAAAAGGAAGAUGUCAAAUGGUAUGUUUGGAAGUUAUUUUAAUACCUAUUUUUUUAUUUUUAAGAAAAAAAUAGGAAAACAUGUUUGACAAUCCAAAGAAAAAAAAAUCAGUUUUUAAAGAUAUAAAAUAAGGUUUUUUCUUAGAAUGAAUAUUUUAGUCGUUUAAUUGCAAUUAUUUUUUAAAAAUUGUUUUAAAAAAUAAUUACAUAAAUAUAGAGAAAAAUUGAAAAUAAAGUAUCAAAUAUAAAAACUAUAUUUGAAAAAUAUAUAAAAAAAUGUUUAAAACAGUUUAAGUUUCCAAAUAAACUUUUAUUUUAUAAAAUAUUGAAGAAAUUAUUUCAAAAUUAGUUUUCAAAAACCAUUUCUUAGAAUUGUUUUAAGAAAUAUACUUUCCAAAUAGAGUCAAGGCUUUUUAAUUUAGUAUAAGGAAAAAGUGUGUUUUGGUACAAAAGUAUUAAAAAAAUGGAAAAUAAAAACCUCCAAAAAUAAUUCAAAUUUAAGGCAUCAAAAUCGAAAAUCUUGAUGUUAGAGGAUGAUAUUAUAAAUAUAUAAUUUAUAUUUUAUGAAAAUUAAAAAUAAUUAUAAAAAUAUAUAAAUAAUUAAUAUAUUAAUAAUAUUUGAUAAAUUGGUGAUGACUUCUCAACCGACAAAAAACUCAUUAAUUAUCAUCUUAUUAUUUUGAGUUUCCAUCAUUACCUUCAUCAAGAAGGUCUUUUAUUCUCUUCUUAUUCCUUUGAAAAUAAAGCAAGAUAUUUUAUUUUCCUCUCGUUCCUUUUUUUUUUCUCGGUUAUUUUAUGUAUUUUCUGUUUCCCCCCACCUGUAUGCAUUCUCUAUUUUCUCUUUUUCAUUCCCUCAUUCUAAUUAUUUGCUUUCCUUUCUCUGUUUUCCUUUCAGUCUAAUUAUUUCACUCAUUCUAACAAUUGGCUUUUCCAAGCGAAGAGGGAUCUAGGUAAAAGAAAUAUCAUACAUGAGAGGAAGGCUUUCCGAGACCAAUCUGACCAACUAACAAGGCUGAAUCCAAAGAAUCGACUAACAGUGUUCUGUGCAUCAUCUACCGAAUCAAGGUUGCUCUACGAUCUUAGUGGCUGUAGAUAAGGUGGAAUCGCCCACCGAAACAGAGAAUCUGGUUCUUUCUGCCGAGCCACAGGCCAAGUCCUCUGUUUCAAACACAUCCGUAUCGGAACCGAAUGAAGUAGGCACCGGAACAGUACAUCCUGCAGUUCUUUCCUCUUGACCUCUUUGUUUCUUCCAAAAGCUCUCAACAGGCCUUGAUCCAGCAGCUGAUCUACCACCAGCCUAAACAUACCAUCCAAAAGCAUUUGCAUCCGUUUUUUUUCAGGACCAACUGGACCACAACGUUCAGUUUCUCUUCUCGAACCAGCAAAUCCUGGUCCCUUAAUAGACUUAUAAAUAUCCGAGCUUUAAGCUGCAAACUCUUACAUAGGAGCCAAUUGGAGAAGAGAAAGCUGAGUGGUUUUCCGCAGGAUCUUUUGCAGAAGUAGAGACGGUGUAUCGUUUUCAUAGCAGGCCUAGCUUUUCUCCGCUCACACGGUUCGCAGGUUGGAAAAGUCCCUUCGCAAGAGAGGAAAGCCAAAAAGAAGAGAUUGCUUUCCUCCUUCUCGAACUCUCGUGAUCUACGGCCACCCUUGGAAAGACUUUUUCCUAUGAUGGUGAUUCCUAAUAUGAACGAGACAGGGGGAACGACAAUUGCUGGCCUGGCCUACUCAUCGGGUUUGUGACAACAGUUUAAAAAAAUACUCUUGUUAAAAAUCUCCUACCUCCUCGCUCGUCGGUAUUAGGAAAAGGUCCAACGUGAUUGGCACACACAAAACAAGCCGUUCCUGAUCUUCGAUCACCCUGCCCUUCAUUCAAUAGAUCGCUUAGCUCUACUUAGUCGAUUCCCUGUGUUCAUGGCUUUGAAUUUUUGGAAAUGCUUUUAUUUUCGAUAAAGAUCUCGAUGACCGCUUAAUUCAUCUGUCCUUUCCCGCUUCUGGAUGAGAAGUUUUUUUUUUUAUUCCCUGAUCUACGAGCACCCUGAGAAAAGUGAUCUAUGAACCUUACAGGCUUUCGACUGAAAAGUGACCAAUGGAAUAGGCUUUAGAGUAGCUCUUUCCAAAUAGGUCGAGAAAUUAAAUUUUAAGGAGGUCUCUAGUUGGGAUUCACAAGUGUAAAUAGAAGUCAGGUGAAACAUAGGAAUUCCAGAGUAAGAAUAAUAGGCAGAAUAUCAGAUCAGUUCACCUUAAGACCUCAUCUUAAGCCUAUGUUCGCACGGUUAGAAAUAGAAUUUUAAGGAGAACAAAAGUCGGCAUUGUUUCAACCAGCCUAGACCUUGAUACAAUUUAAGCCGUUAAACGAACUCAACAUUCUCCGACUCAAUCCAUGCAAUCCAACCUCUCAUGAAUUUUAAACAAUUUCUCAGAAGAAUAAACAAAUAAAGCAUAAUUAAAAAGAAGAAGAAGAAAGAAGUCGGUUUGAAAGCAAACUAAGAAGGGAAAUGUACCAGAGUAUGACGAUGGUGGGUUGGUUGGAGCUGUUCACGAUGUUCCGCUCAUGAAGGUGGGAGUAGUGUACUGGUGAGAAGGUGGAUGGCCGGAGAUGGUGGCCAACGGCAGUGAGAAUGGUGACUUUGUGACCCUUGAAUGGGUUUGCAUUAGUAGUUUUAAACCAGAGAAAAGGCCAAAAAAGAAAAAGAAGAGAUAGAGAGAGAGAGUCGUCUCGUGGGGCGGCGGAAGCGUGUUUCUGUAGCAAUAAUUCGAAGAAAGUAGGUGGUCGACGGCAGUAGUACUAGUUUGUUGAGUCACUUUGAUUCCAAAAUUGAAAGUCCAUACCCACUUUGAUUUAAAAAUAAUAAUAUAAUAAUAAAAAUAAUAUCAAUAAUUCCUCCUUCACGUUUGUUGGAUUCAUCAAUGAAGUUUCUUGCAGUGGAGGCCAGCAGUGAUGCUUUCAGUUAUAUCACAGGGUGGCUUUAGCAGUGUAAAAAUAAACAGGUUUCACAUUUGAUAGCAUUCAAAUACUAAUGAAAUAAAACAUUUUAGUACUUAAUAUAUAUAAAGGCUGCAAUCCUCAAGCAACAAACAGGUUUUUGUAAUUGGAUGGAUGAAUUGAAUUAGAAAUACUAAGAAUCAUGAUUCAUUGGUUAGUGUAUUCGGGUCCAACUAUGGUCAAACAUAGUGAUGUGAUGUCAGGAUGACAUUAUAAAUAUAUAAUUUAUAUUUUAUUAAAAUAAAAAAUAAUUAUAAAUAUAUAAAUAAUUAAUAAUAUUUGAUUUAAAAAAAUAAUAUUAUUAAAUUAAAUCAUGAAAAAGAUAUAUAUAUAUAUAUCACUAUUUUCAAUUUUUAUGUGAUAAAACAUUUAUAAUUUUAAGUGUAAAGAUAUACUUAGGAUGAAAAUAUAUAUAUAUUUAUAGUACAAUCAAAUAUGAGAAAACUAUUUUUUAUUUUCAUUUUUUUUUUAUUUUCGUAAUAUUUUUUGAGAACCAAACAUAACCUUUAUAUAGAAGCCUUAAAAGAAGUGAAAUGAAUUUGAAAUAAUAUUUAACAAUAAUUUAUUAACUUUGAAUCAAAAUUUUAUUUUCUUUUCACUUUAUCUUUUUUAAUUUAUUUUAAAAUAUUAAAAAUAUAAAUUUAUUCAAAAUUUGCUAAAAUAUAAUAAUAAUAAUAAUAAUAAUAAAGUUCUAAUAUUUUAUAAACUAAAAUUAAUUUGACAAGAUAAGUUAUUAAUAUAUAUUUAAAUUAUUUAAAUAAAUUAAUGAUAAUAUAAAAAGUUAUUACCACAUAUUUGUAGUAAAAUUUUAGAAAUUAAAUUUCAAAUAAAAUAUUUUAUAUAAAUCAAUUUAUUUUUUUUUAUUUAAAAUGUAAAAAAACAUGUUUUAAUAAAAGUAUUUUUUAAAUUUUAAAAUAAUAAAAAGAUAUUUUAAACUAAUUUUUUUUUAUAAAAAUUUGAUAAAUAUUAUCUUUAAUUAUACUUAUGUAAAUUGCAAUUAUAAAAUAAUUUUAAUAUGUAUAUUUUUACUUAUUUUAUCAUUUUUUAAAAAGUUUUCUAAGUAUCUUCAUAAAUUUUGAAUCAUUUCUAUUUGAUCCAUAUUUUUGUCAAAAUACUCAUUGAUUUUUGUUAGAUAUUUUCGAUAUAUCCGCAAAAUCAAAAUACCAAUAUAUCCAUAUUUACUGAUAUUUCAAAUAUUACUUCUCAUUUAUUCAAUUAUGGAAACAUAUAAGACCACAAGUAAUCGGAAGAAGAUUAGAUUUAGGCGAAUUGAUGUAACAAUGGAGGCCAGUCAACAACAGUGGUGCUGUUGAAAUUAAUGGAUAUUUAGGGUUAUAGGUUUCAAAAAUUGUUUAGGCUUAAUUGAUUUUCCAAACCCUCUUUGGGAUAUUUAGGGUUUUAAAAGAGAAGUAAAAACAAUUAUUAUUACAUAACUUUAUGUUUAAGGAUGAUAUUUUCAAUUUUUCUUUUUAAGUUAUUGAUAGUUAUGAUAUUUAAUAUAUAUAUUUUUUUUUUGCUACGAUUAGAAAAUACACUAUUAUUGUCUUGGUCAUAACUAAAAGUGCUCAAUCUCUUUUGAGCUGUAUGAGAUUACCUUGUUCAUGGAAGCCAACAAUGAUGUCCAAAUAUAAAUGUUGGUAUCUUAGGUUUGCAAUAUAAUAUUGUUCUUUGAAAAUGAUUGUCCCAAGUCCUUGGGGAUUAUAAGGUACGUAAGGGGAUUGAUGUGCAGUAGAGCCUCAGGAUGUUAAGUCUCAAAAGUCGAAAUAAUGCAAAGUUGAAUGUAUAUAAAGGCUUUACCUCCCUACAUUAAUAAUCAAUUUGCUUUAAAAUGAGAUGACUAAACCCUUGAGCUUAGCAAGUGGUCUCAAGUUAUGGAUUCACGUCACCAAAACCUCAUGUUCUCAAAUUUUAAAUUUGCGAUAAUAACGCUAUAGCAUAAACACUAAGCCCCAAAAUAAGCUUCAGGCAAUCCUAGGAUGGAAGUACUAUAAAAUAAUAAAUUUAAAAUUUCAUAAUUAUUAAUUACUUUUGAAGCAUUUUCUCUUCUUUGAAUUCCAUCCAUAUGACCUACUACUUAAUUUUUCAAAAUUAAUUAUUAAUAAUAUAUAAUGAGAUUUUAAAAAUACAUAUGAAAAAAGUCAAUCUAGAUACAAAUUAUUAUUAUUUUUUUUAUAAUCAAGGAACAUUUCAUAGUUAAACUCUUAGGACUUUCAUGAAGACCCAAACUACCUCGUGGUGCUGACCAUUUCGUAAUAAUUAAUACUAGAUAAAUUUAGGGUAUCAUUAAUGAUAAGAUUCGAAUCUAAAACCACGUGUUACUUACCUGAACCACACUUCCUAGUGUUUGAUUGUAGGUACAAAUUAUUAUUAAUUAUAAAAAUUAAUAAUUAAAAUUAAAUUUAAAAUAUUAAAUUAUUGAUAUUCUAAUUUAGUUACCAUAAUAAAUUUUUAUUUAAAGAAUUUAUUUGCUGAUUAUAAAAAAAAAACUAAAAGUGUAAACGAUAAAAAGAACAAAUAUAUCACCCAUAAGAUGGGUAUAAACAAUAUUGAUUUUAAAAAACAAAGAUAAAUAAAAUAGUUAAAAAUAUAGCCACUUUAUAAAAUAUUUUAUACCUAAAAUAACCUUUACAAUAAAUUUUAUUUUUCUAUUAUAUCAAACAAAUAUUAAUAUUGAAUAUCAAUUUAUUAUUAAUUAAUUUAUUAUAAAAGAUAUAUGAAUAUGGAUUUAUUAUUAAAGAUAUGAGAUAAUAAGUAUUAAUAUUAUGUAAGCAAAUGUGUGAUUCAUAAUUAUUUAUUAUAAAAAAUAUAUAAAUAUAAGAAGAUUAAGUAUCAAUAUUAUGAAAAUAAAUUAAGUAAUAUAAAGAAUUAUUUAUUUUUAAAAAUAAUUGAAUAUAAUAAGAUGGUAAGUAUUAGUUUUAUGUAAAAUAUUGUAAAUUUAAAACGGAACUUAUAUUUUUUAACCCUUCAAUAUCUAUAGGAAAAUCAUUCAAAAUAUAUGAAUAUAAAUUAAUUACUAUUUUUUUUCAUUAUUAAAGAUAUAGGAAUAUGAGUUUAUUAAUAUAGAAAGUUGCUCAUUUACUAUAAACUUUUUUGUUUAAUUUUUUUUACUACAUUUUGUAAAAUAUUAAAAUAUAUAUAUAUAUAUAUAUAUAUAUAUAUAUAUAUAUUUUGCUGCCUCACAUGCAUGACACGUGUGACAGAUGAAUUCCUUGCAUGGCUGUAGGCAGAGAGGGUUAGACACCUAUGUCAAGUGUAAGUCAUAUAUCCCUUAUCAUAUAUGAAGGCAACUAGAAGUCUAUAAAAUGCACAAACUUCUAUCUCCUUUCACUUCCAUGGGUGGGAGAUAUGAUCUGAUAGCAGGCUUGAAAGCUAUGCAUUUUGUACUCAACCAAGCUUGAUUUUGUUUAGAUCAGUAUAGAUAAUAGAAGUGGUCAGUUGUAAUGUGCCUGAUGAGGAGAAUGCUCUGAUUGAACUCUUCCUCCAUGCUCCAACCAAGGAGAUCAUUCAUUUUUUCAGGCACAUGAUCACCUUGAUAUAGUGAUAUACAUGGAGAAGAUAGUGUACUUGUGCAGUUUCCUGGCAGCCUAAGAUUUCUGAGGCCUGUGAAUUUGGUCUAUCUAUAGAGUAUGGCAUAAUGUUUAUCAGCAAGCUUGAGUAUUACACCAAGCAGAAAGUAGUUUUUGAGUCUAGAUUGCCUUCAUUCUCCGAGGUUGAAAUGAAUACUUGAAAUGUUGAUUCGGUCUUGAAGUCCUUACCAAACUUUUGAAUAUCUCUAGCCCUUACUUCCUUCAAAGCUUAGAGAACCAUUCUACCAUAUUUAGCUACUUUCAGACAUCUUUGUAUUGCUAUUCUGAGUAGCAGCCAACCGUAUUGUCUAAAAAAUAUCACAUGGCCUGUCACUUGGCAAAUACUACUAGACGCAUUGUAGUUUGGGCAGGAAAGUCAGUAUGCAUUUCCCACCUUACCUUAGUCUUGUGGAAGAGAAGGAUUUCCACACUGGAGACCUUUGUUUAUUUGUGUUGACUCCUCCUAGAAAAAGAACUGAUGGUCCCAUCCUGCACUGUGGAUUCUCAAAGGAUAGUACUAAAAGAAGAUGAGGGCAGCCAUCAUCUUUGAACACUACAUAUUGAGACAAAAAAAGGUAUCAUUUUUUGGGGGAAAAAAAGGGUUGUGAUCCCCACCCCACCUAACCUUGGAAAUUUCAAGGAGACUGCAAAAUGGCUUUUCAAAAGACUCAGAACAUUUCCAAAGCGAAGUCCAUAUUAUUAUUAUUAUUAUUUUGUGCUAAUUCCAUGUACAAGACUCAUAAAUUUUAGUGUGUUGCAUAGACUUAAGAGUUGUGCUUUCUUCAAUCAAAUGGAUCUCCCUCAUCUCACUCAGUAGAGCACAUAGGCCUCAUAUUUGGCUUGCAACUGUGGCUUUUGCCUUCAUCACACGGUGGAGUGGAGGCUUUCAGUUCUAUCACACGGUGCCUUUAGCAGUGUCAAAAUAAACAGGUUUCACAUUUGAUAGCAUUCAAAUACUAAUGAAAUAAAACAUUUUAGUACUUGAUAUAUAUAUAAAGGCUGCAAUCCUAGCAACAAACAGGUUUUUAUAAUUGGAUGGGUGAAUUGAAUUAGAAAUACUAAGGAUCAUGAUUCAUUGGUUAGUGUAUUCGGGUUCAACUAUGGUCGAUCAUCGUGAUGUGAUGUUAGGAUGACAUUAUAAAUAUAUCAUUUAUAUUUUACUAAAAUAAAAAAUAAUUAUAAAUAAUUAAAAAUAUAUAAAUAAUUAAUAUAUUAAUAAUAUUUGAUUUUCUUAAAAACUUUAAUAUUAUUAAAUUAAAUCGUGAAAAAGAUAAAUAUAGAUAUAUCAAUAUUUUCAAUUUUUAUGUGAUAAAACAUUUAUAAUUUUAAGUGUAAAGUUACACUUAGGAUGAAAAAAUAUAUAUUUAUAGUACAAUCAAAUAUGAGAAAACUAUUUUUUUCUUUCCUUAAUAUUUUCUGAGAACUAAACAUAACUUUUAUAUACAAGCGAAGUGAAAUGAAUUUGAAGUAAUAUUUAACAAUAAUUUAUUAACUUUGAAUCAAAAUUUUAUUUUCUCUUCACUUUAUUUUUUUAAUUUAUUUUAAAAUAUUAAAAAUAUAAAUUUAUUCAAAAUUUGCUAAAAUAUAAUAAUAAUAAUAAUAAUAAUGAAGUUCUAAUAUUUUAUAAAUUAAAAUUAAUUUGACAAGAUAAGUUAUUAAUAUAUAUUUCAAUUAUUUAAAUAAAUUAAUGUUAAUAUAAAAAGUUAUUACCACAUCUUUGUAACAAAAUUUUAGAAAUUAAAUUUCAAAUAAAAUAUUUUAUAUAAAUCAAUUUAUUUAUUUUAUUUAAAAUGUAAAAAAACAUGUUUUAAUAAAAGUAUUUUUAAAAUUUUAAAAUAAAUAAAUAAAAAUAUAUUUUAACCUAAUUUUUUUUUAUAAAAAUUUGAUAAAUAUGAUCUUUAAUCAUAUUUAUGUAAACCGCACUUAUAAAAUAAUUUUAAUAUGUAUAUUCUUACUUAUUUUAUCAUUUUUAAAAAAAGUUUUCUGAGUAUCUUCAUGAAUUUUGAAUCAUUUCUAUUUGAUCCAUAUUUUUGUCAAAAUAUUUAUCGAUAUUUGUUAGAUAUUUUCGAUAUAUCCGUAAAAUUCAAAUACCAAUAUAUCCAUAUUUACUGAUAUUUUAAAUAUUACUUCUCAUUUAUUCAACUAUGAAAACAUAUAAGAGUACAAGUAAUCAGAAGAAGUUUAGAUUUAGGCGAAUUGGUGUAACAAUGAAGGCCAGUCAACAACAGUGGUGCUGCUGAAAUUAAUGGAUAUUUAGGGUUAUAGGUUUCAAAAAUUGUUUAGGCUUAAUUGAUUUUCCAAACCCUCUUUGGGAUAUUUAGGGUUUUAAAAGAGAAGUAAAAACAAUUAUUAUUAGAUAACUUUAUGUUUAAGGAUGAUAUUUUCUAUUUUUCUUUUUAAGUUAUUCAUAAUUAUGAUAUUUAAUUGAAAUUUUUUUGCUACUAUUAGAAAAUACAUUAUUAUUGUCUUGGUCAUAACUAAAAGUGCUCAAUCUCUUUUGAGCUAUUGGAGAUUACCCUGUUCAUGGAAGCCAACAAUGAUGUCCAAAUAUAAAUGUCAAUAUCUUAAGUUUGCAAUAUAAUAUUGUUCUUUGAAAAUGAUUAUCCCAAGUCCUUGGGGAUUAUAAGGUACGUAAGGGGAUUGAUGUGCAUUAGAGCCUCAGGAUGUUAAGUCUCAAAAGUCGAAAUAAUGCAAAGUUGAAUGUAUAUAAAGGCUUUACCUCCCUACAUUAAUAAUCAAUUUGCUUUAAAAUGAGAUGACUAAACCCUUGAGCUUAGCAAGUGGUCUCAAGUUGUGGUUCACGACACCAGAACCUCAUGUUCUCAAAUUUAAAAUUUGUGAUAAUAGUGCUCAUUGGAUUAAUAUGAUAGCAUAAACACUAAGCCCCAAAAUAAGCUCCAAGAUAAGGGUGUUGCACCUAGUUUUCAAUCCUAGGAUGGAAGUACUAUAAAGCGCUAGCUAGAUAGUAAACUCCAAGUUUUCAACAUUAGGAUGGAUGUGAUAUAAUUCUCAAAGAUGGUUAACUCAACAACCUCAAUGUAAGUUGUUUCAGGUUUUCAUCUCUAUGAUGGGUGUGUAGUAAAGUCUCAAGAUGGGUGUGUUCCAAGCUUUUUUAAGUAAGCUUUGGAAAGUCAUCAUGUCCUCCUCAGAACAAUAAGUGUCGAGAUAUUAGUAUUAUAAAGCCUUGGGAUGGUCGCUUGGCCUAGAAUGGUUAAUCUGUGAGAUGGGUGCACUAUAAAACCUUAGAAUAGGUUUAUUGUAAGCCUUUGGGGAUGUUAUUGCUUAUAGCCAAUUGACUUGGGAAAGUGUGUUGUGAACCUUAAUAUAGUAAUAUAAGGGUUCGUGUGUUAUUGAUUUUAGGAAGUUUUUUUAAUGUAAAAAGUAUUUAAAAUAAAAAUAUUAGGUGUUUGUCAAAAUUUAGGAAACAUUUCUAACAACCUAAAAAUCAUUUAUAAUAUUAAAAAAUCACUUCAAAUAAAACACUUUCAAAUAAAACACUCUCACUAAAAAACUUCAAGUAGAAAUAUUGUCAAACACAUUUUAAAACAUUGGAAUGGAUGCGGUGAAGACAACCUUUGAGAUAAGUGUGUUUAAGCAUUAGUAUGGUAAAUCCUAGAUUAAAGUAAUAUCAAAUAUCAUAAAAAAUUUGUCUUCUUUUAUUGAUGCUUAAUCGAUGUAUUCAACUAUCAUGAUGAAAAUCUUAAAACCGACAAUAAAAUAGGUCUUGAAUGAGAAGUAAGCAUUAUGUACACAUUUUGGAUUAGGAAUAGUUGUACGUGUUUCAUUUACGAAGACUGUAGAAAUGCUUUUUUGUGAUUUUUUUUUUGAAGUACCCUGCCUUUAAAAUCUUUAAUUAUUGAAUUUUUUUAAAUCAAUGUCUAUAAUUGUAUUUUAACUACCUAGCUACAAUCUAAAAAUUAAAUCGAGGUAUUAACUCCACUAAAUAAUAGAAUGACAAUAGCUUGAAUAAAAAUUAAUUAAACGUGAUAAAACUAUAGACUAAGUGGACAUUGAUGGUUUUGGACAAUGUAAAACCAGUGUGCACCCAAGACUCGAAGAUAUCGAAUUGAAUCAAAAGAAAAGUUCAGGUAUUCUCUUGAAAAGUUUAGGUAUUUUGUAUAUUGUAUUGCAUUAUGCUUGAUUGGUUCAGGAAUGCAUUAAGAAAAAUUACUUUUUCAUAUAAGGAUAAUUUCAUUUAUCUCUCUUAAAGCUUUGACUAAAUAUAUAUAACUUUUAUUGAUUUGAAAUUUCAUCAAAUAUCUUUCAUAUAUAUUUAUAUUUAUUAUUUUCAUUCACCUCUCAUUUCAUCUAAAAUAAGAAAGGUGUUGGGUGAAAUUUCAAACAAAUGGAGGUUAAGUGUAUUUGAUCAAAUAUUGAGGAGAGAUGAGUGAAAUUAAUCUUUUAUGUUUGGUUUUAUCAUUAAAAAAAUAAAUAUAUAUAUAUAAUUAAAAUUAAUUAAACAUAAAAGUAUGUUUAAUGUGGAAUAAAGAGGUAAAGAGAAUAAACGAGAAGUAUAUUAUACAUAUCAUACAACUUUGUAGAGAGAGAUGUAUGAAUUGGCACCUAAAAAAUAGUACUUUGUAUCUAUCUUGCAAAUGUUUUAUAAGUAUCCUAUAUGCAAUAUAAUUCGUUGAGUCAAAUACAAAAACAUAUGAGUAUUUGAAAUAUUAAGGAUGGCCAAGGAUUGGUUUUACUUCAUCUAAUAUUUGGAAUUGCUCACUUAAACCAAGAUGUGCAAUAAGAAGACAGACAUGAGUGAGCAAGCUCUCCACCUCGCCUAAGCUGAUGGUCGUGUUGAACCCAUUCACAAUGAGUAGCCGCAUAGAAUAGCCUCUCCGUCCAUAUAUGACUUAUUAUAACCCAUUUCUCUUCUGUCCCCGCCAUUUCCUCUAAUUCUAAUAUUUUGGCAGGCUUACAUGCCUUGAAUAAUACAGACUUGCUUUUAUCUCCUUUCACAUCUCUAGGUAGUGGUUGCGUAUCAACUUCAAGCAAUGAUGUGCAAGCUUCAUCUCUAUUAGAUAUGGCCUCCCUUUUUUUGUUGAGAAGCUUUUAUCUCCCUUUUUGGUAGGCCACUUAUUAAACCAAAUUUCAUGAGAAGCUUGACAUUACCAAAAUAAAAAUCAAAAUCAAAAUUUCCCAUAAAGUAAUGUACGAAAUCCAUGGACCAAAGAUCUUUUGAAAAGAUUAUAUUAGAAACUAUAGCUUAAAUUCUAUAAAAAUAGGGAGAAAAAAAAAACAAAAAAAUACAAUUUAAGCCAUUAAACGAAAUCAAUAUUCUCUGAACCAAUCCAUGCAAUCCAAAAUCUUAUUAAUUUUGAACAAUUUCUCGGAAUAAAAAACAAAUAAUAAUUAUAAACUAACAAAAGAAGAAGAAGAAGAAGAAGAAAGAAAUCGGUUUGGGAGCAAAAUAAGAAGGGAAAUAUACCGGAAUAUGACGGUGGGGGCUUGAUUGGAGCUGUUCACGGUGUUCAGCUCAUGAAGCUGGAAGUAGUGUACUGGUAAAAAGAUGGAUGGCCGGAGAUGGUGGCGGACGCCAGUGAGAAUGGUGACUUUGUGACUCUUGAAUGGUUUGCAGUAGUAGUUUUAAACCAGAGAAAAAGCCAGAAAAGAAAAAGAAAAAGAAAAAAGAAGAAGAGACAGAGGAGCAAGACUGAGAGAAUUGUCUUGUGGGCCGGCCGGAGUGUGUGGCUAUAGCAAUAAUUGAAAGAAAGGAAUCCAUCCCUUUUUCACUUUCCUUUCAAUCUCUUUUUUGUCGCCAUUAAUCAAUUUUCUGUCAAUAAUUGGCAACAGUGCAUGUUGAAGUUAGGGGAUGGUUUUUUGGAAGAAACGAUGGAGAGCAUAUUGAAGUUGGCGGGGCAGAUGUGAAUUUGGAAGAUGUGAUGUUGGUAUUAAGGUUUUUUGCAAAUUUAAACUAUGUGAAUGUAAGAGACAAUUAUAUGUAAGUAUAUAAUAAACAAUAUAAAGACAAUUGCAUAUAAAUUAAAAGAGUAGAGAAGAGAAAAUGCAAACACAAGAUUUUAUAGUGGUUUGGCGCAACCCGACCUACAUCCACUCUCCUCUAUCUUCAAGCCCAAGCUUGAGCUUCCACUAAUUUAAGGCUUCCAAACCAAGCCUUCAAGCAAUACAAUUGGAUUAUGGUUCAAAUUCACCCUCUUGGACUUUUGGCUCCAAGCACCCUUUACACUUCUCAAGAGAUAUCCCACUCUUGAACAACCCCUCAAGUGAUACCACAUACUUGAGAAACUUCCUCUCAAAGAUUUACAAAUAAAUGAUCUCACAAAAUUCUAGUACAAAAACUUUAAGCUCAAAUGAUACAAGAAAACUAAGAUUGAAAGGUGCACUAAAGAUAUAAAAGUUUUAGAACAAUGGUGCACUCAAAAACACUAUUACAAGGCUCAAAUAUAUUCAAGAAAUGUUUGGGAAGGUUAAACUCUUUUAAACAAUGAAGAUUGGAGCAUUUUUAUAGAAGAAAAAAAAUCAAACUAGCCAUUGGGGGUUCGAUCGAUUGACUAACUAUUAUCAUUUAAUGCUUGGUAGGUGAUCGUUGGACCUCGACCGGGAAGGGGUGAACCUUAACCGGGAAGAGGAAGCUAUUGGAUGAGAGAUAGUGUUUUUUGGCACUCCUCGAUCGGACCUCGACCAAACAAGGGUAACCGGUAGACCGGUUCCCUAAUCGAUUGAGCCGGUUGGCCAAAGCCUCGACCGGUUCAGCCUUUUGGUCCCGAAAACCUAUCUUUUUGAAUUCCUUUCUUUUCUAACACUUAGGUAAGGUCUUUAGGUGAAUGCCAAUUUUAAAACGUUUUGCCUAAGGUACAUUUGAUAAAACUCGGGUUUUAAUGAAAUCGAAGUUUUAAAGGAUAAACCGAGUUUUCUAAGAUGCAUGAAAUGAUAUGAAAAUCCUAAGUGCACCAACAACCUUCCAAAAAGAUCUUAUGAAGUUUGGGUCUUGAAAAACACUUCUCUUUGAGGUGGUCUUCUUCUUCAUGAUUUCUUUUUGACUUGGUUUGUCUUUGUGAUUGCCACUUUGGAAAUCAUCUUGCCUAAUCACACUUGAAAUAUAAUCAUUAGUUCUAAACCUUGUUUUGUUAUCAUCAAAACCGAGAUUAACCAAACCGUGGUUUCACAAUCUCUUAUGAUGACAAAACCAAGGUUGCUAAAGAGCUCCCCUUCAAUAUAUGCUCCUUUGAAUUUAGAAAAUAUUCAAGUUUAGAAACUUCAAGGAGUAUAUUAAAGAUGCUCAAAAUGAUAUAAUUAAACAUAAAUAGCAUAAAGAGCAAUUUAGCAAUUGCAAAAUAUUAUUAUUUAAACAUGAUGCAUGUAAUUAUAACCAAUAAAGCACAUAACAUCAAUAUGAAUAGGAUUGCUGAAACAAAAUUGACAUUUCUUCCCAAGUUAGCAACCUACCAUUACUUCUCCCCCUUUUUGUCAUCAACAAAAAGUUUCAAUAAAGUAUAUAAGGGAAAUCACAUGUUAUCAAAAGUUUAAAAAAUAAACAAUAAGCAUGAUAUGAUUUCUCAUGAAAAUGAAUCUCCCCCUUUUUCAUUUGAGAAUAGUUUCCAAAUAAAAGAUUGCUCAUCCUUAGAGCAUUUCCAAUUUAAAGCAUGAUUUGGAAAUAUAUGUGAGAGAACAUAUGCAUUUAAAAAGAUAUAUAAUAUGCAUUGAAUAACACUAUUAGAGUUUACAAGCAUAUGAACAUUCAAUUUUACCUAGGUAUAUUAAAAAAAUUUCUUUUUAAUCCAAACCUUGGUUUAAAGAUAUACCAAUUUUAUCAAAGUGAUGCCAAAUGUUAUAUUAUUGACAAAAAAUAUGCCAAGUGUUAGAAAAAUAAUAAAAUGAUAUUGCAAAUUAAGCUUUAAAAGGGAUACCAUUACCAAUAUUAUCAACGCAUUCUUUCUAAGGUAAGCAUAUCCUCAUUUUUGCAUGGAUCCCUACAAAAACAAAUUAAGUAACCUUUGGUACCCAUAUCUUUUUGGGUCCUAGAGGGUUAGUCUUUCUUCCAUUUGGAAUCCAAAAUAAUUUAGAGUUUUGAAGAACAUGAGGGGAUUUACCAAUGUGACCUCCUCUUUCACAAAGAUUGCAAAUAGUUGAAUGUGAAAAACUAGAGGUUUCCUUUACAAAAUAAUUCUUAAAAAAAAAAUUGAUUUUUGAAAGGCUUGUAGCCUAGCCUUUUUUUUUUUUUAAUAUCAAAAAUGCACUUUUGAUUUGCCAAAAUCAUAUCAAAAGUCUUUUGGCCAUUUCAGAAUUUUUAACUCCUCAUUUUCCUUUUCAAAAGGGAUUUUUGCCUUCUCAAUAUUUUCAAAAUUUUCAUUAUGCUCACUGAGCUCAUUUUGAAGACAAUAAAUCUUUUUCUUGAGAGAUAUAUUUUUGAAUCCAAGUUUUUCAAGAUCAAAAUAUAAUUCUUGAAGUACAUCUUGAAACUCGUUAUGGUUAGAGUUGGAGUUUACCUCAUCUUAAUGUUCUUCCAAAGCCAUAAAGCACAUAUUGGCAUCCUCAUUUGUGCAUUCUUCUUCCAUGGAGUCUUCAUCACUUUCACUUUCACUCUCCUCCUCUUCAUCAUCAUUUAUUGAAGCCAUAAAAGCUAUACUUUUCUUAUUUUCUUUAACUCUUUGAAAAUUGUUCAAAUUUAUCUCAUAAGUCAUGAGUGACCAAUGAGUUCUUCAAGUGAGAGUUUGGUGAGAUCCUUUGCUUCUGGAAUAGCCGUCACUUUUGUUUCUCAUUUCUUUGGUAGAGACCUUAAAAUCUUCAUGACUUUCUCUACUUUUAUGUAGGUCUUUCCCAAGGCUUCAAGUUCAUUCACAAUCACCAUGAACCUAGAAAUCACCUCAUGAGUGAUUUCUAAUAGUCUCCAAAUUUCUUUAGCCGACUUACAUUGCCAAAUAUGAUUAAAUUUAUUUCUAUAAAUAGCACAAUGUAAGAUAAAAACGGCUUUGGCAUUUAAUUGAACUUUCUUUCUAUGAAGUUCAUCUCAUUCAUGCUUAGGUUUUGGAACCAUCACUCCAUUUUCUAAUUUUGAAGGAAUGUGGGGACCAUCUUUAAUGACAUCCCAUAAAUCAAGAUUAGUAGAUUGGAAAAACCAAGUCAUUUUAAUUUUCCAACAAGGAUAAUUGGUUCCCAUGAAAAGUGAAGGUCAGGUGGUUGAAAAACUUUCAAUGUAAGAUGAGCUUGAUGGAUUAGCCAUUACUACUUAGAUGAUUAAGUCUUAAACAAGAAGCCUAGUUCUGAUACCAAUCGUUAGGACCUCAGACACUACCAACUCUCUUAAAAGCAAUUGCUUGUAGGAAAGGCGCAUACCCUAACCUUAUAGUGGAUUCACCCAAGCACUCAUGGCGAACAUAAGGGGAGUUGAUGGAUGCGGCCAACCUUCCAAUUGCUUUUAGGAGAGUUGGUAGCGCCUAAGAUCCUACAAGUGGCAUCAGAGCCGAGGUCACGGGUUCGAACCCUAGGGGUGUCGCUGGGAGGGAGAUUGUUGGCAGAUCGGAGGGUUGACCGCAUCCAUCAACUCCCCUUGUGUUCGUCAUAGGCGCUUGGGUGAAUGCACUAUAAGGUUAGGGUAUGCACCUUUCCUACAAGCAAUUGCUUUUAGGAGAGUUGGUAGCACCUGAGGUCCUACAGGAUGGAUGUGAUAUAAUUCUCAAACAUGGUUAACUCAACAACCUCAUUGUAAGUUGUCUCGGGUUUUCAUCUCUAUGAUGGGUGUGUGGUAAAGUCUCAAGAUGGGUGUGUUCCAAGCCUUUUUAAGUAAGCUUUGAAAAGUCAUCAUAUCCUCCUUAGAACAAUAAGUGUUGAGAUAUUAGUAUUAUAAAGCCUUGGGAUGGUCGCUUGGCCUAGAAUGGUUAAACUAUGAGAUGGGUGCACUAUAAAACCUUAGAAUAGGUUUAUUGUAAGCCUUUGGGGGUGUUAUUGCUUAUAGAUAAUUGGCUUGGGAAAGUGUGUUGUGAACCUUGAUAUAGUAAUAUAAGGGUUCGUUUGGUAAUGAUUUUAGGAAGUGUUUUUAAUGUAAAAAGUAUUUUUUUUUAAAAAUAAUUAAGUGCUUGUCAAAAUAAUUAAGUAUUUUUUUGAAGUACCAUGCCUUUAAAAUCUUUAAUUAUUGAAUUUUUGAAAAUCAAUGCCAAUAAUUGUAUUUUAACUACCUAGCUACAAUCUAAAAAUUAAAUUGAGGUAUUAACUCCACUAAAUAAUAGAAUGACCAUAGCUCGAAUAAACAUUAGUCAAACGUGAUAAAACUAUAGACUAAGUGGACAUUGCUAGUUUUGGACAAUGUAAAACCAGUGUGCACCCAAGACUCGAAGAUAUAGUAUCUAAUCAGAUGAGAAGUUUGGGUAUUCUCUUGAAAAGUUUAGGUAUUUUGUAUAUUGUAUUGCAUUAUGCUUGGUUUAGGAAUGUAUUAAGAAAAAUUAUUUUUUCAUAUUAGGUUGAUUUCAUUUAUCUCUCUUAAAGUUUUGACUAAAUAUAUAUAACUUUUAUUGGUUUGAAAUUUCAUCAAAUAUCUUUCAUAUAUUUUAUAUUUACUAUUUUCAUUCACCUCUCUCAUUUCAUCCAAAAUAAGAAAGGUGUUUGGUAAAAUUUCAAACCAAUAAAGGUCAAGUGUAUUUGAUCAAAUCUAAAGGAGAAAUGAGUGAAAUUAAUCUUUCAUGUUUGGUUUUAUCAUAAAAAAUAAAAAAAUAUAUAAUUAAAAUUAAUUAAACAUAAAAGGUAUGUUUAAUGUGGAAUAAAGAGGUAAAAGAGGUAAAGAGAAUAAACGAGAAGUAUAUUAUGUAUGAAUUGGGAUCUAAAAAAAUAGUACUUUGUAUCUAUCUUGCAAAUGUAGUUUGUAAGUAUCCUAUAUGCAAUAUAAUUUGUUGAGUCAAAUACAAAAACAUGAACCCUAAACAUAGGAGUAUUUGAAAUAUUAAUGAUGGCCAAGGAUUGGUUUUACUUCAUCAUCUAAUAUUUGGAAUUGCUCACUUAACCCAAGAUGUGCAUUAAGAAGGCAGACAUGAGUGAGCAGCUCUCCACCUCGCCUAAGCUGAUGGCUGUGUUGAACCUAUUCACAAUGAGUAGCCGCAUAGAAUAGCAUCUCCAUCCACACAUGACUUAUCAUCUCCCAUUUCUCCUCUGUCCCUGCCAUUUCCGGUGAUUCUAAUAUUUUGGCAAGUCUAUAUGCCUCGAAUAAUACGGACUUGCUUUUAUCUCCUUUCACAUCUCUAGGUAGCAGUUGCGUAUCACUUUAAGCAACGAUGUGCAAGCUUCAUCUCUAUUAGAUAUGGCCUCCCAUUUUUUGCUGAAAAAAUCUUUUGGCCUCUGAACGAGUGUCUCGGAAUCUCCCCUAUUCCUUUUGGAAGCAUAAAUGGUCAUAUGACUAGGAGAUGGAGCAUGUAAUUAGAUAAUAACUUGCUUAUAUUGUACCUUGAUUUAGGAUCAGGGUCUUUAUGAUCAAAAGAACUGCCAUACAUAUCUGUAGCAAUAUGCCAGAGAAGGAGGCUGUGAACAAAUUCCACAUCAACUAUACUCCAACCAAGUUCAUUAAUAAACCCCUUUUUUGUAAUCACAUAAUUACCUCUGUGUUUGAGUAGCUGCUUGAGAUUUCCACCUUCGUUUAUCAUCUCUAGAACCCACCAGAAGAUGGAUUAAUUUAUAUCAUCCACUUUCUCCCAAGUCAUGUACCAGUACUUGUCCAAGAAUUUGUUCAAGUCGAUGAACUUGGGAACCCGAUCAAACUUGGUUUUGUCUCUGAGGCAAGAAUCAAUUAAGUUGUUCUGUGCGAUGCGUCUAGACCACCUCCUGUCACUGGAUACAACUGAUCGAAAAGAGGAGAUGGCUCGACCAAUGGAAUCAGCCAGGGGGUUCCUCUUACUGCUCAACCAGAAAAUGGUCCAGUGGGACAAAAUCAGCAUAAUGAGAGCAUAUAUAAAUCUCAAGAACAAUAGCUCCAAACAGUAACGUGUAAGUUACGCCGAUGUCAAUGUUUGAGAACUCGUGCUUAUCAAUGAAGAAGCAGAAGGCCACUAAAGUAAAAAUUGUGGAGAAGAAGCUUGUGGAGCGGAGCAGAAGGCCUAGUUCAGAAUAAGCCACUGCUGCCUUGGUGUGGAGCACAUCAUACAUGCAUAAAACCGAGCUCCAUCUCUACCACUUCGAAGGCAUCUUCAGAUGGCAAGCACCUGAUGAUGCUGUCACUGAUUUUUUGUUCAUCCAAGCUGAGGAUGAGGUCUGCAUAUAGAUGCCUGAAGUGCCCCUCGAAUAAGAAGUAAGCUUUAUGAAUAUAUUUUGCAUCAGGAAUAUAUAGUAAUGUCAUCACCGACAGUAGGUGGUGGAAGGGGACAUUUAAUCGCCACCUGAAAUCCUACAUCCUCUCGUUUUCUUGAACUAUAAUCCUCCAUGAAUUUAUCAUAAUCAGGUCCAGGAUCAGGGGGUCGGAGCAAGGAGUCUCUGAAUUGCUUGCUGCUUGCAGACCUGUGAACCCAGGUCCUCUCUCCAUACUUGAUCAUUCCAGCAAUAAACAUUAGAAUGAACAGAAAAGUGAGUCCAGUUCCUAUCCAGUACCUUAGAAACACAACCAGCCGCUCCAACUUGGAUGACUAGUCCAAGCAAGUGCCUCCGCCCCAACUCGCUGUCCUGUAAGGAGUAGGCAGUGAUGCUAUCCAGCCCACCAAGGUGGAGGAGAAGGAAGGGUGCCCAAAAUGCCAUGAGCGAAUAGUUUGGAUCCGGGGAGCUUCUGGAGAGAGUACCAAGCGAAACAGUUUGCCAUCAAGUCUGCUAACAAGUAUGGCAGCCAAAUUAGAAUCCUAAUCCAGCUUCCAGCUAUACGUUUUCGUUGGUUGCCAGAGAUGACAAGCAUAAUUUGUAGCAACAGACUGAAUAAAACCAUCACACGGAUAUCCCAUUCGUCCCAAAGUUUUUGCACCUUUGAGAAAAUCUCCAUUGCCUGCCUCUUCUCACUACGUAAUUAUGAGAUUAAUUCACUUGCAGUUUUUUCAGAUUCUCCAGUGCCAUAUUUAUUCCCUAAUCAUUAUUUAACUAUGACAAACUUACAAUAGUAGGCAUAGACCUCCAAUGGCCUUGAGGGGACUCUAACGGGUGACCAUUAGAGAGCAAACCCAAGGCCGGACCAACUGAGCUACCCUCAGGGUUAAAAAAAAAAAAAUGCCUUUGUAAAUUAUUUGUAAAAGGAAAACCAUUGGGCAUUAUGGGGUUCUUUAAUCAUUUGUUGAGAAACAUAUUGAAGAAUAAGAAUUGUCCUAAAAGAAAGAAAGGUGGCUUAGACAAAUAGAAACCGACAAAAGUGGAGUUGUUAACAAAUCUUUCCAUAUUUCCAUAAUUUAUUUAAACCUAUUAUUUUAUGAUGAUCAUGUGAGUAAAACAUUUAUAGAUUUAUAUAGUUUAAGGUCUUUUUGGUAACUUUCUUUAUUUUUUAUUUGAAACAACUGUAUAAAAAAAAGCAAUUUUUUAGAAUAUUUCUUUGAUAUUUUCUAAAAUAAAAAUCUAUUUGAGAACUUUAAAUAUUUUUAAUUUAUUUUGUAUAUUUUUAAAUAUUUUUUAAAAUUAAGUUUUAUGAGCUUUAUUUUCAAUUAUUAUCCAUUUUUUAGAAUUAUUUUUUUUAAAUAUCAUUUUAAAAACAAAUAAAAAUUAUUAAAAUAUGUCAUGAGAAAACAUCUCAUUUUUUCAAGGAAAAAAAAUUCAAAAAUUAACAAAAUCAAAUUCGGAUUAUGUUAAGAAUAAUGUGACUAAGGUCGGAAGACUUUAUAGUGGAUUUGUAUUGCCUAGGUUAAAUCAUUUUGAGAAAAUUAGGCCAAAGAGACUUCACAUGCAUUAUUUAGAAAGAGGUGUUAAUUAACUUUUAUUCAUAAAAAAAUAAAAAAUAAAAAUAUGAUUCUUUCUAAAUUAAUUGUGAAAGGAAGACCAUUGAAAGUUGAAACACCACUGUGGGCCUUGAUCCCACUGUUGAUGCCUCGCGCUCCUGGUGUUCCACGUAGUUGCCAAAUGAAUGGACAUGCGAUCUCAACCCACAAAGGUUCUUGAUUCAAUCGUUGUACCUGCAAAAGACAUCCGGACAGGGUGUCCGGACGCACCCUCCGAUGGUUUUGUUAGCCAUGGUUAGAGAGGGAGAUAUAAAUCAGUUGACCUUUUACUAGGUAUCAGGAGAUCACCUUCUUCUUCGUGCGAAGGUUCAUAUAUAGUGUCAGGAGUACUGUUCCUCUCAUUAAUGGCGAGGAGAUAUUUUAUGUUUGUCAUGAUGACAUUCGGAGGCAGCAUGGUCAUCACCACCCUACUGGCGACUGUCAGAAACCGUGGUAGGUGAUGCUGCUGUCAGAGAUCGUGGGAAGUGUUCAUGUAGAAUGAUCGUGGAAAGUGACUUGUUGUCACCUCAACUCGUCCUUUCACUCUACAGGCAAUGGGACGUGGGCCAUGGCUGGUUUGUUGCGAUAGCGUGUAAGACUCGCUUUACUUUAGUCAAUGAUCCAGACAAUCAUAUCCGGAUAGCCCAUGUUGGUUAUCCGGAUGUAUUGUGGAGCGGACGUAUUUAUGGAAGUCGUCCGGAUGCCUAUGCUUCGUAAGCGUCGUUUGCUCUUCCUUGAGGCAGUCCGGAUAUACAAGGUGCGCCAUGUGUGCUUUAUAAGAAGGUCCGGAUGAGGGUGACCCGGAUGACAAUGCGUGCCAUGUGUCACUGUAAGAUACGUGCCACGUGUCUUGGCCAAAUGCGUGGCACGUGUUCUCAGAGGGCGGGGUCCCUACAAUGCCCUCCUUUUUUAACUUGCCUAUUUUGCCUUAGAAAAAAUGGGCGGGUUAAAAAAUAAUUGGUUUUUGAAACAGAAGUCGACCUUUCGUCUGGUUGGGCCACAUGGCGAGUGGGGGUGCGGGAGCCAAGAAAGGCAUUUAUAAUGAGCCGCCGACUCUGGGUAUUCCCAGGCAGCAUGUCGUUUCAAUGAUGGCGCUGUUUGGGUGUUUGGUUUUCCGAGGGCUUGUCUCCCUAUAAAUAGCAUACUGUGCCCAUUGUUGCUUUUUUUUCCUACUGCUUUUUCUGAGAUUGCUUUCUUCUUCAACUUUGUACGUACCUUCGCUUUCUUCCGAGUAAAACUCAAAAUUUUCCUAACGGUGAUUUGCGCUUUGACGGUGUUUGCCUUGCGGUUUUGCAACCCUUGCUCUUCUCUUACAUUUGGUACGUAUUCUUUGUGCCUUGUUCUUUUCUUUUCUGCGCUUUGGUGUUUGUUGGUUUGUUGCUGGUUUGUUUGGGCGAGUGUUGUUUGUGACUGGGUAUUUUAAGGGUUUCCGUUGCCCCCCUGUGUUUUUGUGGGUUGGGGGUUUCUUGUUGGAGUAGAGUCAAGGAUUUUUGGAAUGGGUAUAUUGGUGGUGCGAGAUUUUCUGAGUGUUGUUAUUGUUUAGGGUUUGCGGGGUUGGUUGGCUGUGUUUGACUGUUGCAUUUCUUGUAUGUAGGUUUUGGUUCAAUCUCGGCCUAAAAAUGUCUUCAAAGAAGAAAGCUGCUUCAUCUGCCCGAGUCGGCGACGCUCAUGAGAAGUCUACAGACAAACUGAGCGUAAAGGAGUUCCGAGAUCGAUUCUACAUUCCAAAUGGCGUAAUUGUGGAAUUUUUGAAUGGGGAGGAUGUCGUAUCUACUGAAAAAGCUGAACAAGAUACCGUCAUCUUCUCCAAGGAACAAUUCAAUGCGGGGCUCCGAUUCCCUCUACCGGCGUUGUUCAAGGAAUUUCUUCAUUUCACCAAGAUUCCACCCGUCUUCAUUCACCCCAAUAUCAUCCGGGUGCUGAUGGGAUGCAGCAUCAUAAACAUGCUGUACAACCUCGAUCUCACGCUGCUGGAGGUGUUUUUUGUCUAUUCGCUGAAGAAGGCAAAAACUGACAUCUUCAGCCUGUCCGCGCACCUACCCUCCCUUCAAUUGGUGACGAAACUGUCAGACUCGACGAAGGGAGGGGCGAGGGGACACGUGAUGGUCCGGGGUGCAUGGGCGGGGUCGAAGCAUCCGGCGAGGCCCUUCUCUCCAAACUACUCCUUAGUGAUUCCGGGUAAGUUUGCUUUGCGACUUUUGUCCGACUUUUACUUUGUUGUCUUUUUGUUAAUUUUUCCGGGCAGUAUUCUCAUCCUUUGUUUGCUGUCAAUGCAGGUUCGGAAAGGAGGGGCCACCUCGUGGAUUGGGUGGAAAAGACGUCUUUUGCCUGUCUCAGCAAGUUAUUUGAGAUAGACGCCAAGGAGAGGCAGUGCAAGACGCUGCUGACUGCGUGGAACCUGAUGGCGGUCGUCCGGGAGCCCCAAGAGUAUGUCAUCAACAUUCUCCCCAGGAAGAUGCCAAAGGAGGUAGUGCCUGGGGAGCAUUACACUGUGAAGGAUCUCCCGAUCUACCAGGAGUUCAAAGAGGUUGACGCUGAAAAACGCCGAGCACUCUUGGAUGAUCGGGAGAAGAGAAAGAACGAAGGAACCCUUCGGAAGGCUCCCAGACAGAAACGCGGCGCGACCUCUCCUCCAAAUAAAACUCCAGCAAAAAGAAGGAAGUUAGUGAAGAAGAAUGGGAAGGGGGUGAAGGAGUCCACUCCUCUCAAGGAUUUUAUCCCUCCGCCAAUUACUCAUGAGGCGGAGGUAAUAAUAGAGGAACCAGUGAACCCUGCUCCUCAUUCUAUCUCAAGCGGAUCCGGACACGUCGCGAGGCUGAACCACUCAAGUACCUUCUUAGCAGCGGUUGCCCGUCUGGCAAAUUUGGUUGAGGAAGCUGCGUUCAUCAACCAUCCGGACUCCCCUACUCCGGAUGUCGAUGCAGUUGAAGCCGUUUGCGCGGCCCCGAUGGAGGAAGCAGGGGCAGAAAGCCAGAGUCAGCCCUCUGAUGAUUCGGACCGUCUGGCUCUUGUUCUGGUGAAGGAGCCACCUUCAAAGAGGCCUCACUCGGCGCGCAAUCUGAGGUCCGGACUCCUCGGGCGGCUUCAAGAUCGUCAGCAAGAGAUCGAAGUUAGUUGCUCAUCCGCCCACGACGCUCAUCCGGAGGGGGGCGAAGUGGAGAUGACAACUGAGCCUCCAUCCGUCCCUGUGAUGGUCCCGGCUGAGGUUGCACCCGGGGAGACCCAUCCGGUCGUAAAUGUUGAGGCCCCGAAUCCGGAACAAGAGUCUCGUUCUGUUGCCUCAUCAGGCGGGGAUCCUGUUAAUGAUGCGUCUUGCACCUCCGCUAGCCCUUUUAGCUACGCGGAGUUGGAAGAUAAGCUGAAACAGAUUCCACCCGACUUGACCAGUGUUAUGCCUUCAGCCAAGAUGUUCGAGAUGGUGGAAUCGGUAUACUGUCUUUGUGCUUUUUUAUUUUUUGUCCUUCUGAUAUGUGUUUGUGGUGUGAUUUCUAACUUUGCUUUUCUCGUUUGACUGUUUACCUGCAGCUGGUGAGUGGUCUCCGUGGCAUGGUCAAUCAAUACGAUCUUUUCACUGACCUGCUGCGGACCACUGAUUACAUGAAGGCCUUCGCCGCUCGGCACAAAGAUACUGAAGACCAGUUGCGCCUGAGACUGGGGAAGGCUGAAGCUAGCGUAUCCACUGCCCGAGGGGAGAAUGAGGCCCUCCGGGCAGAUUUGGCUGAUGCAAAGAGCCGGGAGGAAUCAAUGGAGGCCCGCCUGCAGGAGGCAGAGGAUGAGAUGGCCCGGCUGCGGGGGGAGGUGAGGCAACUCCAGACCGAGGCUUCAAUUGAAAAGAAGCAGAAACAAGAUUUGCAAUUGCGCUUAUCAGCGCAAAAAGAAGAGCUAGAACGGGAGUUUGCUGCAGAGAGGGAGGAACUUGAAGCGGACUACCAAAAACAAGUGGAUGACACCUUCAUCUUUGGCUAUCGCUGUUGUAUGAAGAAGAAUGGCAUAAAGCGGGAUGUCCCUUCAAUUCCUCCGGGUGAAGAGAAGAAACUUUAAGGUUCUCCCUGAUAGCUUUUGUCUUUUUGCAACUGUUUGCUGUAAUCUUCUUUUUGUAUUUUCGUGGUCCGGAGACCUCUUUGCACAUUCAUUGAUACAUAUCAAUAAAAUAUGUCUUUUUCUUCUAUUUGUACUUGUCUCUCUUUUUCAUUGAUAAUACUGUUUUAAAUUGGACACAUUCCAUGGUCUAAGUAAUGGAGUCCCGUCUAACUUUUGUAAAUGAUAGGCUCCACUCUCACUUGCCUUAGACACUAUAUAGGGUCCUUCCCAGUUAGCUUGGAAUUUCCCUGCACCCACUUCAACAGUGUUUUCAAAAACUUUUCUAAGGACUAGCGUACCAUUUUUGAAGUUUCUGGGCCUUACUUUGCGAUUGUAGUGGGCGGAUGCUCUUUGUUGAUAGUCUGCCAUCUGGAUGGCUGCACUUUCUCUUACUUUAUCCGUCCAAUCCAAAUUUCUUCCUAAUUCCGUGUUUGCAUCAUUUUGCUUUGCUGCAUCAGUCCGGACAGUAAGAAGACCUAUUUCAGUAGGAAUGACUGCGUCCAUUCCAUAUGCGAGGGCGAAAGGAGUGUUUCCUGUUGGUCGUCCGGGUGUGGUUCGAUAGGCCCAUAGGACGCCGGGUAGCUCCUCCACCCACUUCCCUUUGGAUUGUUCAAGCAUUUUCUUUAAGGCAGUGAUUAGGGUCUUGUUUGUGGCUUCUGCUUGCCCAUUACUUUGAGGAUAUCGUGGUGUGGAAUAUGAAUUCCGGAUGUUCAGCUUCGAACAGAAAUUCCUGAAAGCAAUGUUGGUGACAUCUUUGUCUUUGAUGCUAGCAUAUGCUUCAACUUCCACCCAUUUACUAAAGUAAUCAGUGGCAACAAGGAGGAAUUUCUUCUGGGCAGGCGCUGCUGGGAGGGGUCCCACUAUAUCCAUGCCCCAUUGUGCAAAAGGCCAUGGGCCUGAGACUGACUUCAACGUUGCUGACGGCAUAUGUGGAAUGGGAGCAUACCUUUGACAUUUAUCACAUCUUUUGACAUAUGCUGCCGCGUCUUUCUUCAUUGUUGGCCAAUAGUAUCCUUGCGAAUGAGCCCUAUGUGCCAGAGAUCGUCCUCCCGAAUGAUUUCCGCAUAUUCCCUCAUGCAACUCAGUUAACACAUACUGGGCCUCUGAAUGCCCUAGGCACUGGAGGUAAGGUCCUGUGAAGGAUCGCUUGUACAGGUGCCCCCCAAUCAGGGUGAAACGGGCAGCUUGCACCCGGAUUUUGUGUGCCUGCUUGGGAUCUCCGGGUAGAGUGUCUGUCCGGAGAUAUUCUGCAAUAUUGUCCGUCCAUUCUUGGUCGUUUGCUUGGGUUGCCUCAAUGGUGUUGCAAGUGGAGGUUUCUAUGACAGAAGGGCUGGUUUGCACAUGUAUAGGCAAUAGAAUGGCUUCUUUGAUGGGGAGGGAGACAGCUAUGCCGGCCAAGGCGUCAGCGCGCCUAUUGUCAGCUCGCUUGAUUUUUUCGAUUGUCCAUUCGAUGAAUUGCUGUAGGGUGUCUCUUACUUUAGCUAAGUAUCGCGCCAUGCGUGCGUCCUUAGCCUCAUAUUCUUCCUGGACAUGCUUUACCACGAGUUGUGAGUCGCUGUAGAUCUGGAGUUUGGAGACGGAUAGAGCAAGGGCGAGGUCCAAUUCGGACAAGAUGGCCUCAUAUUCUGCUUCAUUGUUAGAGGCAGAGAAUUCCAGCCGGAUGGCUUGCUCCAAAUGUUCCCCAGUUGGGGACUGUAGUAGAAGCCCAACUCCAAAGCCUGAUGAGCGUGAGGCUCCAUCAACUCGCAGAGUCCACCAUUCUUGUUUACUUGAUUCGUGGUGUUGGCUGGGUCUUCGGGAAUAUUCUAGCACGAAGUCAGCCAUUACUUGGCCUUUCAUGGACAAUCUGGGUUGAAAUUCGAUUCCAAAUUCGCUUAAUUCGAUGGCCCAUUGUAGCAUUCUUCCGGUUAAAUCUGGUUUGUGCAGAAUGUUGCGAAGGGGCUGGUCAGUUAGUACGAUCACUGGAUGAGCUUGGAAAUAAGGGCGGAGCUUCUAGGCAGCGCUUCGAAGGGCUAAGGCUGUUAGCUCCAUUUUUGAAUAUCUGGUUUCUACGUCUGCCAAUGCCCUGCUGACGUAGUAGAUAGGUUUUUACUCCUUGGGCGAGGGGCAGCGGAAUAGAACGGCGCUGAUUGCCCAUUCUGAUACCGCCAGAUACAUAUACAAUUUCUCCUUUGGAAUGAGACUGUUCAAGAUGGGCGGUUGCGUAAGACAAUGCUUAAUCUUUUCGAAAGCGUUCUGGCAACUGUCCGUCCAUCCGUGUGCUCCAGCUUUUCAUAUUGCCAAGAAGAAGGGUCGCAAUUCAUCAAUGAAGCGGGCUAUAAAACGCCCUAGUGCGACGAGCUUGCCUGUGAGUCGUUGUAGCUCCUUCUUGUUCCUGGGAGGGGGUGUUUCCAUGACUGCCUUGACUUGAUCUGGGCUGACUUCUAUGCCCUUUGGCUGAUCAUAAAUUCCAGAAAUUUGCCAGCACUUACGCCAAGGGCGCAUUUAGAAGGAUUUAGCUUCAUGUCAUACUUUCGUAAGAGGUGAAAAACUUCUUAUAAGUGAAGGACAUGAUGCUCUCGGGUUUUGCUUUUAACCACGAUAUCAUCAAUAUAUACCUCUACCGUGUGGCCUAUCAGAGGUUUGAAGAUUUUAGUCAUCAAUCUUUGAUAAGUGGCGCCAGCAUUUUUGAGUCCGAAUGACAUGACUUUGUAGCAAUAGAGGUCGUGUGGCGUUAUGAAUGCUGUCUUUUCUUCGUCAUCCGGGGACAUGGGGAUUUGAUGAUAUCCGGAGAAGGCAUCCAAGAAAGAGAGCAUCCCUUGCCCGGAAGUGGAAUCCACAAUUUGAUCUAUUCGUGGCAAGGGAAAACUGUCUUUUGGACAUGCAUUGUUGAGAUUGGUGUAAUCUACACAAACUCGCCAUUUUCCUUCUUUUUUAGGUACCACCACUACGUUUGCCAACCAAUCCGGAUAAGAUACUUCUCUGAUGAAUCCAGCUAUUAGCAAUUUGUCAAUCUCAUUCCGGAUGACUUUUUGUCUAUUCGGGUGGAAACGUCUAAUUUUCUGUCGGACGGGUCUGGCAGUUGGAAAGACGUUAAGCCUGUGAGAUGCAAUAGAGGGAUGAAUUCCCUUCAUAUCAGAGUGUGCCCAUGCGAAAAUGUCAUGAUUCUGUCUGAGAAUGUUUUGCAUGCUCUGAGUUUCUUCUUGUGUCAUGAGGGAACUGAUGUUCGUGAGGUGAGUGUUUUCCUCCGAAAUUUGGAUUGUUUGCAAGGGGUAUGCUGUCGGGGGAUCUUUGUCCGCCGGACCCAAUAAUUGCUAUUGGUCAUGUGUAUGGCUGGGUUUAGGGGGAGAUGCAUCUUCCUGGUUGACCCCUGCUUCACGUGCUAUCUGAUAGCAUUGGCAAGCGGCUAAUUGACUGCCAUAUAGGUCGAUUUGGCCAUCGUUGGUGAGAAAACUCACUAUUUGAUGAUAUGUAGAGGGGAUAGCUUUCAUGUAGUGGAGCCAUGUGCGCCCCAAAAUGACAUUGAAGGGUGAUAACUCCUGUACUACUGAAAACUGUACGUUGAGAGUGACUGGGCCUACUUGGACCGGCAGUACAAUGUCUCAUAAGGAUGUAGUUGAAGACCCGUUGAAUCCGGAUAGGAUUCGUCCAGGGUUUUCGAGGCCUGUGAGAUUGUGUCCCAUGUGGCCAACAACUGAUGCUUGCACAAGAUUGGCCGAACUGCCUGGGUCAACCAAGAUACGCCGCACAUCGAAGUCCCCAAUUUCCAGGGACAAGAUGAGGGCGUCGCGAUGUGGUUGCAGUGUCCGGGUGGGAUCUACUGGUGGGAAAAUGAUUGUCCCAUCUAUGGGGCGAGGGCCCCCUCCAGUUAGCCCAGGCCAGAUGGAAUUGAUGCGUUCGUGUAUUGAUGCGGCCCGCAACAAUUUUUGUCUCUUUCGCCUAGAGUCGUACUCCUCGUCAGAUGGACCUCCGUUAAUAUAGUUUAUAAUGACCUUGGGGGCAGCUGGGGCCCUAGGGGUCCCGGGGUUGUGAUGUUGGGAUGCGUCCCUUCCUCCAUUAUCUGAUCGGAGGUAUUGCUUCAAAUGCCCUGCUUUUAUGAGUCUCUCGACCAGAAACUGGAAAGCUCGGCAUGUCUCUGUUGUAUGGCCAUGAUCCUUGUGGAAGGCACAUCUCCUACUACGAUCCCUUGUGGAUGGGUCCGUUCCAAUGGGUCUAGGCCACUUGAAGUCGGACAAGCCCUGGAUCAUUGGGAGAAGUUUCUCAUAUGAUAUGGAAAGAGGUGUGAGAGGUGGCAUUUCCGGGCGACUUGGCCCUUCCUACCUUCGGUCAGACGGCUUUGGCCGAUCCGGAGGUUUAGUGUUUCUCUCCGCAUUACUUCUAGAUGGUCGUCCGGCAACCAAAACUUGCUGGGUGGCUGCACGUACGUCAUCUUCGAGCAUUGAAUAUUUGUUGGCGCGCCUAAAUAAAUCAUCCAUUGUUGUAGGAGGUUUUUUAGCCAGUGAUUCGAAAAAUGGAGUGUCUGGACAGAUGCUUCGCUUGAAGAUCUGUAGGACAGCAUCCAUACUACAAGCCUCUACUUGAAGCACGGCUUGGCCAAAUCGCUUCACGAAUUCCCUCAAGGAUUCGUUAUCUUGCAUUUUUAUGUUCUGCAGGGUGCUGAUAUUUUGCUUGUGUCGAGCGGAGCACAAGUAUUGUCCCACGAAAGCUUCGGACAGGUCCCUGAAAUUGCCAACAGAGUUGGGAGGUAGGCGAUGAAACCAUGAGAGGGUCUGUCCUUGUAGGCUGACGGGAAAUACUUUGCAUAGUAGUGCAUCAUUGCCAAUAUCGAGCGUCAUUAGCUGUCGAUAAUGCAUGAUGUGAUCGAAGGGAUCGUUGGUUCCAUCGUAUGUGGAAAACUUUGGUACGAGGAAUCCCCUUGGGGGCUCGUAAUUAAUGAUAUGAGAGCAGAAAGGCGUGGAGAGCAUGUCAUCCAGCCUUUUGCUGAUGGAGCCAAUGGGUGGCUCGUUUGGGAUGUUUCUCCUAGUUGGUUGUUCCGCUGGGUGCGAAUGAACGUUCCGCAUCACGGGGGUGACUACGGGGUCACGAUGCGGGUGAACGUUUUGCACCAUGGGGGUGGCCAUGGGGUCAGGGCGUGGUGCCCAGGUUGUGGCCAUUGGUGACCUUGAUCUUCCAGGCUCUUAUGGGCCUAGUCUUGCGCGCAUCGAAUUUGACAACUGGGAUUUUUUAUCACGUUGUCUUUUUGCUGAAAAGUGAGUAGAGUCUGAGCUUUCCUCACGGGGAGCUCGAGGCAUAGGCGUGCGUGGCUCAUGAGGUCUUACGUUGCAUGCUCCUGGGAUAGCUCCUGUUGUCCCAGGAUAUAUUGAUUCUGGUUCUUGUUGAGGCCUUGAGUUUGCUACUUGGCCCCUUGAACGCUGACGUCGAGGAGGCCCUGAUGUUGAAGCCUGGAUGCGUAAUACAUCGUUUUCUUCUCUCAAUCUUUCUGUCUCCUGGAGGAGAGCUUUCAGUUGUUGCUCGCUUGCCAACUGUCUCCUUUCGAUGGCUUGACGCCAUUCAAGAUUAUCCUCCACUCCUUUACCAGAUGAUCGGCUUCGGGAAGGUGUGGCCAUCUUUUUUAGUGACUGAAUCAAAGUAAAAAAAAGUUCCCACAGACGGCGCCAAUGUUGAUGCCUCGCGCUCCUAGUGUUCCACGUAGUUGCCAAAUGAAUGGACACGCGAUCUCAACCCACAAAGGUUCUUGAUUCAGUCGUUGUACCUGCAAAAGACAUCCGAACAGGGUGUCCGGACGCACCCUCCGAUGGUUUUGUUAGCCAUGGUUAGAGAGGGAGAUAUAAAUCAGUUGGUCUUUUACUAGGUAUCAGGAGAUCACCUUCUUCUUCGUGCAAAGGUUCAUAUAUAGUGCCAGGAGUACUGUUCCUCUCAUUAAUGGCGAGGAGAUAUUUUAUGUUUGUCAUGAUGACAUUCGGAGGCAGCAUGGUCAUCGCCACCCUACUGGCGGCUGUCAGAAACCAUGGUAGGUGAUGCUGCUAUCAGAGAUCGUGGGAAGUGAUCAUGUAGAAUGAUCGUGGGAAGUGACUUGUUGUCACCUCAACUCGUCCUUUCACUCUACAGGCGAUGGGACGUGGGCCAUGGCUGGUUUGUUGCGAUAGCGUGUAAGACUCGCUUUACUUUAGUCAAUGAUCCGGACAAUCAUAUCCGGAUAGCCCAUGUUGGUUAUCCGGAUGUAUUGUGGAGCGGACGUAUUUAUGGAAGCCGUCCGGAUGCCUAUGCUUCGUAAGCGUCGUUUGCUCUUCCUUGAGGCAGUCCGGAUAUACAAGGUGCGCCAUGUGUGCUUUAUAAGAAGGUCCGGAUGAGGGUGACCCGGAUGACAAUGCGUGCCAUGGGUCACUGUAAGAUACGUGCCACGUGUCUCGGCCAGAUGCGUGGCACGUGUUCUCAGAGGGCGGGGUCCCUACACCCACCAUUGAUAACUGUGGAGAUCUGCCAAACUUAAUUGGAGAUGGUGAGGGGUUUUGAAAGUUGGAGUGAUGGAGUUGAGUUCAAAUUUUCAAGAGACAGACAUACUCUGCUUCACCUAUUAUAUAUUCAAUUUUUUUUGUCACCUUCUUUCCUCAGUUUUCUUCUAAUUUUCUCCUCUGUUUUUCUUACAAUUUUGGUAACUACAAUAACAUUUAAACCCAAUUUCUCAAUUAAAAUUAAAUUAAAUUAAAUUAAAAUUUAAAAUUUUUCUAUGUAAUUUAGAUGAAAAAUAAUUUAUCAUAUAUUAGUAAAAUUGUCAUUAAAAAAAGAAUGAGUAUGACUAAGAUAGACUAAGAUAAAUUGUUUUUUUCCCUCAUUUUGUUCUCUUAUUUUUGAAGUAAAUUUAGAAUUUAUUUAAUGAAUUCUUACUAACAAAAAAAAUCAAAUAAUAAAAAAAAAAUCACUUAAUUUGAUAAGAAAUGAAUUUAAAAUAAAUCUACAAACUUCCAAAAUGAAAUUAAAAUUGAGGUUUAAUUACAUGAUAUCAUAACUCAUCCAAUUGUCAAUAAAAUUAUAAUUAAUUUUUUUUUAUUAUAAAAUUUUAAGUUUAGCUCAUUAUAAUACAAUUAAAAAAAAUCAACUAUCAAUUAAAAUUGUAGAGAAUAAUUCAAAUUGGGCUAAAUAUCCACUAGAGUUAAUAAUUUUAAUUAAUUUUUAAAAAUCCAAAUUUAAGCGGUAAUUUUUUUCCCUAAAUUAAAAAACCAAAAAUUAAAGAAUUAAUUUGAAUAGUCAAAUAUACUUUCAAUCACAAAUGCAUAAAUUUAAAUGUAUGUGUCACAUAAAAACCACUAAGUAAUUAAUACAACUUAGUCUAGAAAAUUUUCAUUUCUGUUAGAUAUGGACUCCCUUAUUUGGAAUUUUCUCCUUCCUCUGUUUUGCUUGCAUUUCAUUUUUUGGGCAGCUGUAGCCAUUUGGUAACUACAAUUACACUUACACCCAAUUUCUCAUUUAAAAAAUUAAAAUAAAAUAAAAUUCAAUCUUAAAAAUUUUGUAUGCAAUUUAGGUGAGAAAUAAUUUAUCAUAUAUUAGUAAAAUUGUCAUUAAAAAAGAUUGAAUAUGACUAAGAUAAGUUGUUUUUUGUCCCCAUUUUGUUCUCUUAUUUUCAAGUAAAUUUAAAAUUUAUUUAAUGAAUUCUUACUAAAUAAAACAAAUCAAAUAUUAUAAAAAUCUCUUGGUUUGAUAAGAAAAGAAUUUAAAAUAUAUCCAGAAAGUUCCAAAAUCAAAACUGAGAUUUAACUACAUGAUAUCGUAGCUCAUCCAAUUCUCAAUAAAAUUAUAAUAAAAAAAAUUAUAUUAUAAGUGAAUUUAUUACAAAAUUUCCAAUUUAGUGAAAUUUCUAUAAUUAAAAUUCUAGACUAUAAUUCAAAUGCAUCUAAAUAUCCACUAGAGUUAAUAAUUUUAAUUAAUUUUGAAAAAUCAAAUGUUAGGUGGUGAUGUUUUUCUCUAAAUUAAAAAUCCAAAAAUUAAAGAAUUAAUCUAAAUAAUCAAACAUUGGAUUCAAUUACAAAUUCAUAAAUGUAUCACAUAAAAACCACUAAAUAAUUAAUACGACUUAAUCUAGAUAAUUUUCAACACUUUGUUAGUAAUCAAACAUAAUUAUUAUAAACUUUUGUUAUUAUAUUAAAUCUUGUUAUUUUGAAGCAUUUAGAAAUAUGUUAAAUUACUCUUUUUUUGUGCCCAACCCCCUCUUUCCUUAUAGGCGAGACGAAGGUUCUAUCCUCAUCAUGUGAAUCUGAAAAUUCUCUAAUCACACUUUAGGUAAAAAAAAACAAAAAAAAAAAAAGAAAAGUAAAGAGUGUUUUAUGGACCUAAUCUGUUUUUAGAAACUUUUUAUUUAAAAUAAAUAAAUAAAGCCUAAGGCUAUGUUUGGUUCCCGGAAAAUUUGAGGGAAAAUACGAGGGAAAGAAAAUACAAAAGAAAAGUAGAAGGAAAGAAAAAGUGAAGGAAAAUAAAAAAAUAGAUUAAAAUUUGAUAAAUUAUUUUUUUUGUUACUUCAAACUCAUUUUAUUUAUUUUAACUCAUCAAUAUAAAGAUUAAAUAAUUUAAAAAUACAUAAGUUUUUAAUUAGUUUUAAUUAUAUUUGAUUUUCUUUGAUAUUUUUCAUAGGACAACCAAACAUGAGAAAAUCAUUUUUCUUAGCAUUUUUUUUCUUUCCUUUGUACUUUCCGGGAACCAAACAUAGCCUAAAUUUCCAAUUUAGUGAUCGGGUUUAGUGCUUGAGGGAACAUAAGGCCGAGGAAGUGUGGGCCAUAGAAUUGGGCCUUCUUUCUAUAUUCUUAUUUUGGCAUUUCUUUACCCUACUUGAAUCCCAUCCCACAUCGAGCAGUCACGAAAGAAAUGAGAUGUUCAAAUUACAAGCUUCCUCGUGAUCAAGAAGUGGCAUCAAAGUUCCGGGGAAAUAGGGGGGGGGAACUCCAGGGGCCCAGGGGGAGGGGGGGGGGGAACGCCAGGGGAAUCAGGCAGACAUGAGUGAGUAACUCCCCGCCUCGCCGGAGCUGCUGACCGUGUUGAAUCCAUCCACAAUGACUGGCAGCAUAGCACAACAUCUCCACCCACACCUCACUCACCAUCUUCCAUUUCUCUCCCAUCUCCAUAUUCAGUGAUCUCAACUCCUUGGCAAGCCUACAUGCCUCGAAUAACACUGACUUGCUUUUAUCUCCUUUCACCUCUUUGGGCUCAACUUCUGUGUCAACUUCAAGCAACAAUCUGCAAGCUUCAUUUCUGUUAGAUAUGGACUCACUUCUUUGCUGGAAGAAUCUUUUGGUCUCUGAACAAGUGUCUCGGAAUCUAAACUCCCCUAUCCCUUUUGGCAGCAUAAAUGGACACAUGACUAGCAGAUACAACAUAUACUCAGACAAGCAUUUGCUUAUUUUGCAUCUUGAUUUAGGAUUGGGGUCAUCAUCAGAAUAGCUACAGAGAUCUGUUGCAAUAUGCCAAAGAAGGAUGCUGUGAUCAAAUUUCACGUCAACUAUACUCCAACCAAGUGUCUCAAUAACCCGCCUUUUUGUAAUCACAUAAUCACCUCUGUGUUUCAGUAGUGACCUGAGAUCCCUGACAUCAUUUGUCAUCUCUAGGAGCAAGCUGAAGAUCGGUUCCUUCAUGUCAUCCACCUUCUCCCAAGUCAUGUACCAGUACCUCUCUAAGAAAUUGUUCAUGUCAAGGAACCUGGGAACCUGAUUGAACUUGGUUUUGUCUCUGAGGCAAGAAUCAAUUAAAUUGUUCUGUGCCAUUCGUCUAGACCAUCUCUUGUCACUGGUUAUAACUGAUCUAAAAGAGGUAAUGGCUCGGUAAAUGGAAUCAGCCAGGGAGUUCGUCUUGCUGCUCAACCAGACAAUGCUCCAGUCGGACAAAAUCAGCUUAGUGAGGGCAUAAACCUCAAGAAAAAUAGCUCCAAAGAGUAAUAAGUAAGUAAUGUCGAUGUCAAUGUUUGAGAACUGGUGCUUAUCGAUGAAGAAGUGGAAGGCCGCUAAAGUAGAAAUAGUGAAGGAGAAGCUGGUGGAACGGAGCAGAAUGCCAAGUAGAGAAUAAAUCACUGUUGCCUUGGUGUAUAGCACAUCAUACAUAAAAUUGAGCUCCAUCUCCACCACUUUGAAGGCGUCUUCGGAUGACAUGUACCUGAUGAUGCCCUCACUGGUUUUUUGGUCAUCCAAGCUGAGGAUGAGGUCUGCAUAUAGAUGCUUGAAUUGGUUCUUGAAUAAGAAGUAAGCUUUGUCAAUAUAUUUUCUACUAGGAACAGUAAUGUCAUCACCAACGGUAGAUUGAAGUGGAUUUUCACCAGUCUUUUCUUUCCUGAUUCGCUCAGCCUGCGUGUCGUAAUUCCGUGAACUAUAUUUCUCCAUGAAAUGAGCAUAAUCAGGUCCAGGAUCAGGAACUAGAAGCAAAGAAUCUCUAAAGUGAUUCUUGCUUGCAGAUCUCAGAACCCAGGUCCUCUCUCCAUACUUGAUAAUUCCAGCCACAAACAUUGGAAUGGAUAGAAAUGUGAGUGGAGUUCCUGCCCAUGACCUCAGAAACACGUAGAAAGCCACUCCAACUUGGACAACUAGUCCAAGCAAGUGCCUUAACCACAACUCAUUAUCUUCUAAGGAGUAAGCCGUGAUAGUGUCCGGACCACCAAGGUGCAAGAGAAGGAAUGGCGCCCAAAAUGCCAUGAGGGUAUAGUUUGGAUCCAGAAGUUUCCCUUCCGAAUCUCCUUGGCUGUUUGAGAGGGUACCGAGGGAUACUGUCGCCACCCAGUCUGCGGACAAGUAGGCCGACCAAAUCAGGAUUCUGAUCCAAGGCGUGACUGUGUACUUUCGUCGGUUGCUAAAGAUGAUUAGGACGAUUUGUAGGAAAAGGCUUAGUAGAACCAUCAAGCGUAGCUCCCAUUCAUUCCAAAGUUUCCGCAUACUUUCUGGGAAUAUCUGCAUUGCUCUCGCGCCUGUUCUCUGUAAAAAGAUCAAACUGAAAACAACUAGACAUUCAAAAAUAUUAGAGCCAAAAAUAAAGAAUAAAAUAAUAAAUUUGUAAAAUAAAACUCUUAAAUUCAUACCAAUCAUUUUUCACUUUUAUUCAUUUGCCACUUGUAACUUUCCAACAUUUAUAACUCAACAUUAAAGUUUAACACUUAAUUUUUAAUCUUCAAUUUUAUUAAACACCUUAUAAAUAGCUUCACUUUUCACUUAAAAUUAGAAAGAUAGGUUGUUUCACCAUUUUUUUUAUACAUUUUUUUAUAAACUAUUUUUAAAUUAAAGAAUUAAAAAUGAUAAAACCGUUUCCUAAAAUCAUUGUCAAACACACUCUAAGUUAUUAACUUUUUAAAUUAAUUUAUCAAAUAUCAUCUUACAUUUAGCAUAGAAACUUUAAUUAUACUGUUCCCUAAAAUAAAAAUAAAAGUAUUAUGUCUGGUAACAAAAUCUGAACUUGUCCUACAUGAGUUAGAGCCAAAAAAAAAAUGAAGAAUAAAUUAUUAAUGGUUGAUAGGAACUACAUAUGAACUUAAAAGUAAGGAGGACUUCAAUAAAGGGCUGAUUUUGGCUCUCCUGGAAUCUGAGCAAAGUAUGUAGUUCAGGAAUUGUUGGUCACAGUACUCAUACUGUAAGGGCAUCACCAGCAACAACAAUAUGAUAUCAUUCUUUACUUCAUUAUAAUGCAAACAUAACUCUUUUCCUUUCAUUUAUUCCCAAUUUUGCUUUGUGCAGAAUCAUCUGAUCACUAGGGUGUACUCAUAAAGUCAUAUUAAUAAUUGUAAGGGAAGGGAGAAGCCCAGAGUGUAGGACUUGGUCACAAGUCAAGAAACACAUACUAAUUUCGCCUUUGAUUUCGUGGAACAGUGUUAUGGCUGUAAUUUUGAUGGGUUGAUUGCUAACCCAAAUUCAACCAGAAGUAAAAAACAAUUGAUCAAAAUCUAACCCAAUGUGACUUCUAACCCAAAGUAUUAAGCCAAAACCUAGCCAAGCCUCAUGUCUCUAAACCCGAUUAAGUUCAAGGUAGUCAAGUUUUGUUUCAGGUUAAUUGAGUUACAUAAUUCAAAAUCCAUCAAUAAUGUUUUUUUUUAUACAAAAUUUCUAUAUAUUUAUACGAAAAUUUAAAUAAUAAAAUACGACAAAAUUUAAAUAUGACAACAAAAAUGUAAAAACAAAUUUGUAUAUAUAUAUAUAUAUUUUUUAAAUGAAGAUAUAUAUUAUAUAAUAUUAAUUUGAUAUUUUUUCAUAAAAAUAUAAAAAAUGAAUAUUAUUGUAAAAGAUAAUAUACAUUAUAAAUAUUAAGAAAUAUUAAAUUGAGUUUAGAUUAGGUUCGCAUUGUUUGAGCCUUACCUUUGACCUGACUACAAACCAAAUUGAACUUAGUUUGAAAAAACUUAACGCAAGCCCAAUUACAAUAAUGAAAAUGAUUAUUCAAACCCGAUGAAAAUAUAAUGUUUUUUUGAGUUAUAUAAUUCAAAAUUCAUUUAUAAUAUUUUUUUAAAACAAAAUUUCUAUAUAUUUAUAUGAGAAAUUAAAUAGUAAAUAAGACAAAAUUUAUAUAUAACAACAAAAAAGUAAAAAUAAAUAUAUAUUAUAUAAUAUUAAUUUGAUAUUUAUUUCCUUAAAAAUCUAAAAAAUAAAUAAAUAUUACUAUAUAAAAUAAUUUACAUUAUAAAUAUUAUAGAAACAUAAAAUUGGGUUCAAAUUAGGUUUAUGUUGUUCAAACCUUAGUCUUAACCUAGGCACAAACCAAAAACAAAAUUUCAGAGAAGUUUGAGUUUACCAAAAUAGAAAAAUAUCAAAUUUUCCAUAAAGUAAUGAAGGAAAUCAAUGGACAAAAGAUCUUCUUUUGAAAAGAUGGGGGGCGGGGUGGGUGGGGGUGGGGGUGGGGGUGGGGGGAAAGAGCAAAAAAUAUAUACAAUUUAAGCUGUUAAACGAACUCAAUAUUCUCCGAGUCAAUCCAUGCAAUCCAACGUCUCAUGAAUUUUAAACAAUUUCUCAGAAGAAUAAACAAAUGAAGCAUAAGUAAAAAGAAGAAGAAGAAGAAGAAAGAAUCGGUUUGAAAGCAAAAUAAGAAGGGAAAUAUACCAAAGAGUAUGACGGUGGGGGCUCGGUUGGAGCUGUUCACAGAGUUCAGCUCAUGAAGGUGGAAGUAGUGUGCUGGUGAAAAGGUGAUGGCUGGAGAUGGAGGCCGACGGCAGUGAGAAUGGUGACUUUGUGACUCUUGAAUGGGUUGCAGUAGUGGUUUUAAACCAGAGAAAAAGGCAGAAAAGAAAAAGAAAACAGAAGAAGAGACAGAGGAGCGAGACUGAGAGAAUCGUCUUGUGGGCCGGCCGGAGCGUGUGGCUAUAGCAAUAAUUCAAAGAAAGGAAUCCAUUUCUUUUUCAUUUUCCUUUCUAUCUCUUUUUUGUCGCCAUUAAUCAAUUUUCUGUCAAUGACUGGCAACAGUGCUUCUCAAUUAUUCAACUAUGGAAACUUCCAAGAGUUAAGAGUAAUAGGAAGAAGAAUAGAUUCAGGCGAACUGAUGUA